rnacentral:rRNA from 1 species
AGCAGCCGCGGUAAUUCCAGCUCCAAUAGCGUAUAUUAAAGUUGUUGCAGUUAAAAAGCUCGUAGUUGAAUUUCGAGAUCAAUUUGUCGGUCGUGCCUCGGUACGUACUGGCAUUAUUGAUUUCUCCCUUCUGAAGAACCGCGAUGUCAUUAAUUUGGUGUCGUGGGGAAUCAGGACUGUUACUUUGAAAAAAUUAGUGUGUUUAAAGCAGGCGCACGCUUGAAUACAUUAGCAUGGAAUAAUGAAAUAGGACGUUUGAUUCUAUUUUGUUGGUUUCUAGGAUCGACGUAAUGAUUAAUAGGGAUAGUUGGGGGCAUUAGUAUUCAAUUGUCAGAGGUGAAAUUCUUGGAUUUAUUGAAGACUAACUACUGCGAAAGCAUUUGCCAAGGAUGUUUUCAUUAAUCAAGAACGAAAGUUAGGGGAUCGAAGACGAUCAGAUACCGUCGUAGUCUUAACCAUAAACUAUGCCGACUAGGGAUCGGAUGAUGUUAAUUUUUUAAUGACUCAUUCGGCGCCUUACG